rnacentral:rRNA from 1 species
GUGGGGAAUAUUGGACAAUGGGCGAAAGCCUGAUCCAGCCAUGCCGCGUGUGUGAAGAAGGUCUUCGGAUUGUAAAGCACUUUAAGUUGGGAGGAAGGGUAGUAACCUAAUACGUUGCUACUUUGACGUUACCGACAGAAUAAGCACCGGCUAACUUCGUGCCAGCAGCCGCGGUAAUACGAAGGGUGCAAGCGUUAAUCGGAAUUACUGGGCGUAAAGCGCGCGUAGGUGGUUUUGUAAGUUGGAGGUGAAAUCCCCGGGCUCAACCUGGGAACUGCCUCCAAAACUGCAUGACUAGAGUACGGUAGAGGGUAGUGGAAUUUCCUGUGUAGCGGUGAAAUGCGUAGAUAUAGGAAGGAACACCAGUGGCGAAGGCGACUACCUGGACUGAUACUGACACUGAGGUGCGAAAGCGUGGGGAGCAAACAGGAUUAGAUACCCGAGUAGUCC